GACGAACGCUGGCGGCGUGCUUAACACAUGCAAGUCGAACGGAAAGGCCCUGCUUUUGUGGGGUGCUCGAGUGGCGAACGGGUGAGUAACACGUGAGUAACCUGCCCUUGACUUUGGGAUAACUUCAGGAAACUGUGGCUAAUACCGGAUAGGAGCUCCUGCUGCAUGGUGGGGGUUGGAAAGUUUCGGCGGUUGGGGAUGGACUCGCGGCUUAUCAGCUUGUUGGUGGGGUAGUGGCUUACCAAGGCUUUGACGGGUAGCCGGCCUGAGAGGGUGACCGGCCACAUUAGGACUGAGAUACGGCCCAGACUGCUACGGGAGGCAGCAGUGGGGAAUAUUGCACAAUGGGCGGAAGCCUGAUGCAGCAACGCCGCGUGCGGGAUGACGGCCUUCGGGUUGUAAACCGCUUUCGCCUGUGACGAAGCGUGAGUGACGGUAAUGGGUAAAGAAGCACCGGCUAACUACGUG
rnacentral:rRNA from 1 species